rnacentral:sRNA from 1 species
AGUGGCUCCGAGCGGGCGGUUGCUUGUUGGUUGUUGUAGUAACCGGGGAAGCAGCCGUCGGCGGCUGCCCUGAGCCUUGCUGGGGAAGGAGGAGGGAGGUAGGCGCAGAGCGCGGUCCACGCCUGCUCGCCCCGAACCAUGGGAAGAUGAGACAGGUAAACGCCUGCGCCCGCGCGCUUCCCUACCCUAGGGAGGAGCAUUCCCGGGUCCGGGCUGGCGCCUGCAGCAGCACUUCCCGCUCAGAGCCCGGGAGUAGCUGUUGGCUUCCGGGCGCGCCGCGUUGAAUCGCGGCUGCGGGGUCGUCCCGUCCUUCCCGGGGGGGAGCAUCUGCGGACCUACGUGGGAUUGGGGUGAGCUGGGGGUGGGGCUGAGAAGCAGGUUCCUUUAGGGCGAGGAGUCUCCUUAGGAAUCUGUGCCAUCCAAAUUGCUUGAUCCAGUGAAUCUGCUAGGAAAGGUCUCUGAGGCCCCCGUCUGCUGACUGCAUGACAAACCCUAAAGGAAAUGCCAAUCGUGAUGGCCCGGGACCUGGAGGAAACAGCAUCAUCCUCAGAGGAUGAGGAGGUCAUAAGUCAAGAGGAUCAUCCAUGCAUCAUGUGGACUGGAGGCUGCAGGAGAAUUCCAGUUUUGGUAUUCCAUGCCGACGCUAUUCUUACAAAGGACAACAAUAUUAGAGUAAUUGGAGGUGCGUAU